rnacentral:rRNA from 1 species
GACGAACGCUGGCGGCGAGCUUAACACAUGCAAGUCGAACGGAAAGGCCCUGCUUUUGUGGGGUGCUCGAGUGGCGAACGGGUGAGUAACACGUGAGUAACCUGCCCUUGACUUUGGGAUAACUUCAGGAAACUGGGGCUAAUACCGGAUAGGAGCUCCUGCUGCAUGGUGGGGGUUGGAAAGUUUCGGCGGUUGGGGAUGGACUCGCGGCUUAUCAGCUUGUUGGUGGGGUAGUGGCUUACCAAGGCUUUGACGGGUAGCCGGCCUGAGAGGGUGACCGGCCACAUUGGGACUGGGAUACGGCCCAGACUCCUACGGGAGGCAGCAGUGGGGAAUAUUGCACAAUGGGCGGAAGCCUGAUGCAGCAACGCCGCGUGCGGGAUGACGGCCUUCGGGUUGUAAACCGCUUUCGCCUGUGACGAAGCGUGAGUGACGGUAAUGGGUAAAGAAGCACCGGCUAACUACGUG